GGGGUUGUACUGGUUUCGACGGGGGUUUAGAAAUUAUGGUAGCCAUCGGUGGCCCUGAACCACCUUACAAACGGGAAUUAAAUAUAAACGCAGACAAUAAUUACGCGUACGCUGCCUAAUGGCAGCUGUCAGCUCUAGGCUCCCCGCAGCUUAGAAUCCUGGCAUCGACCUUGCGGGAAACUCACUGCCUAAGCUUUGCGGUUAGUGAAAAUUUAUGAAGCUACUGAAGUGUGAAGCCUGUCUAUGGGCGUCAUGCGGAGGGAAUGUAAAAACAUAAGACUGUGAUGGGAGAAGCUAUAAUGGAAGAGCUUUCGGACGUGGGUUCAAUUCCCACCAGCUCCAUAU
rnacentral:tmRNA from 1 species